rnacentral:lncRNA from 1 species
ACCUAGCCCCUCAGAGAGGAGGCAGGAUUCCAGGCCUCCCUGUUUGCACGGAGUAGAGUGCUGUUUUUCUCCUGUGGUAAGCAACAGACCAUCACAGCAGCUUCAUGACUUUGGAAAUGGUGGCUUCACAACUGGCUUGGUGGCAGACAGCCCCAGGCUUGUUACAAGGCAUCCUCUCUUUAUAAGUGCCAGUUGGGCGGCAACCUCUGAACCAUCACAUCUCAGAUGAAUUUCAUUUCUAAGAGUUACUGAACAGUCUUUGGAAAGUAGCAUUGACCACACAGCAUGCAAAAUUGACUCCUUUUUCACUGUAACCAUUAAGAUAAAGGUGUUCAGCAGGAAGAGGUGAUGUAGGAGUGGCCAAUAAGUAGGAUAUUGAAUGCCAGCAUUUAUUGACCAGUAGUGGCUGCCCAGAGUAACAUGUAUGUGAAAGGAUUUUGCAGUCAUUUCCAGGCUCAAAGGGAAAGAUCUCCAUGAUUGACCAGUAAUGUCUGCAGUCGGCAUGGGGAACAGCAUGGUGGUAUAUGUAUCAUGCCCUAAGAAUAAAUUACAGAGUAAUAUAAGGUUGCAGUGCAGGCUCAGCUCUGCCACUUUGUAACUGGAAGCUAAUUCUAGGACAGUUGACUUAAUUCUUAGAGCCUCAGUUUUCCUAUAUAUGCAAUGGGAAUUUUACCUUUUAUUUUUUGGACUGGUGAUGUUCUUAUUGAGGUGUCUGGAGCAUGAAAACUUCUCGAUAAAUGGAAAUUAUCCAGACUUACUGCUGAAGGUUGUGAUAUCACAGAAACGUUACUGGGGUCAAGGGAAAGAGCAAGUACAUGUGAUAAUCCUAUUGCUGGGAUCAGCAGCAAAUUUGGUGAUCCUAAAUUUAAUAAUGAUUUUGAAGAUGCUUUCUCCUUCUGCCUCUUCUUUUGUUGCUGACGAUUUUACUGCUCUAGGUAACCAUACCUUAAGUCUUCAGAUGUGUCCUGCCAUUGAUAGAAAUUGGGGCCAGACUCCAAACUCCCACCUGUUUUAUUCAUUAUACAACCUGAUAUGCAGGUAUGAGAAGACUCUCAUACCUUUGGGACCAGAAUGUGACGCUCCACUUUAUUUUUUCAUUUGUGCACCCUUAGGCAGAUUAUUUAAUGGUGCUGAAACUCAGUUUUUUCAUUAA